rnacentral:rRNA from 1 species
GCUUGCUUCUUGCUGACGAGCGGCGGACGGGUGAGUAAUACUUAGGAAUCUGCCCAGUAGUGGGGGAUAGCUCGGGGAAACUCGAAUUAAUACCGCAUACACCCUACGGGGAAAAGGGGGCGCUUGCGCUCUCGCUAUUGGAUGAGCCUAAGUCGGAUUAGCUAGUUGGUGGGGUAAAGGCCUACCAAGGCGACGAUCUGUAGCUGGUCUGAGAGGAUGAUCAGCCACACCGGGACUGAGACACGGCCCGGACUCCUACGGGAGGCAGCAGUGGGGAAUAUUGGACAAUGGGGGCAACCCUGAUCCAGCCAUGCCGCGUGUGUGAAGAAGGCCUUUUGGUUGUAAAGCACUUUAAGCAGUGAAGAAGACCUAACGGUUAAUACCCGUUAGCGAUGACAUUAGCUGCAGAAUAAGCACCGGCUAACUCUGUGCCAGCAGCCGCGGUAAUACAGAGGGUGCAAGCGUUAAUCGGAAUUACUGGGCGUAAAGCGAGCGUAGGUGGCUUGAUAAGUCAGAUGUGAAAUCCCCGGGCUUAACCUGGGAACUGCAUCUGAUACUGUUAGGCUAGAGUAGGUGAGAGGGAGGUAGAAUUUCAGGUGUAGCGGUGAAAUGCGUAGAGAUCUGAAGGAAUACCGAUGGCGAAGGCAGCCUCCUGGCAUCAUACUGACACUGAGGUUCGAAAGCGUGGGUAGCAAACAGGAUUAGAUACCCUGGUAGUCCACGCCGUAAACGAUGUCUACUAGUCGUUGGGGAACUUGAUUCCUUAGUGACGCAGCUAACGCAAUAAGUAGACCGCCUGGGGAGUACG